UACGGGGGGGGGCUAGCGUUGUUCGGAAUUACUGGGCGUAAAGGGCGCGUAGGCGGUCUGCUAAGUUGGAUGUGAAAACUCUGGGCUUAACCCAGAGCCUGCAUUCAAUACUGACAGGCUAGAGUUCUGGAGGGGAUAGCGGAAUUCCUGGUGUAGCGGUGAAAUGCGUAGAUAUCUGGAGGAACACCGGUGGCGAAGGCGGCAUCCUGGACCAACACUGACGCUGAGGAGCGAAAGCCAGGGGAGCAAACGGG
rnacentral:rRNA from 1 species